rnacentral:rRNA from 1 species
UACGGAGGAUCCGAGCGUUAUCCGGAUUUAUUGGGUUUAAAGGGUGCGUAGGCGGGAUUUUAAGUUAGUCGUUAAAUCUCGGGGCUUAACCCCGUAGUUGCGAUUAAUACUGGGAUUCUGGAGAUUAGAUGCAGAGGGCGGAAUGUGUAGUGUAGCGGUGAAAUGCUUAGAUAUUACACAGAACACCGAUUGCGAAGGCAGCUCUCUAAUCUAUAUCUGACGCUGAUGCACGAAAGCGUGGGGAUCAAACAGG